rnacentral:lncRNA from 1 species
UGAUAUGAAGUCAAUUACCAUGUCACUGAGGAACAGGUAGUAUGAUGCAUAUCAAUUAGGUAAUUUUAAUAAAAUGACAUAGAACUAAAUGAAAAAAGAAAAGGUUGAGUAUCAUAUCAUGAUAUCAUAUCAUCUUAAAUGAUAUGCUACCGUGCGUUAUGCAUGACAACAAAUAAAUAAUUCCAUAAUACUAACAUACAGAUAUAGUAUCAUAUGCAUAAUACUAAUAUAUGAUGGCAGGCCGGUGAAAUACGAGACGACAACACGUACGUCUUAAAGUUCCAUAACGCUUAAAGGAAUGAUGAUAGGCUCCAUUAAAUCCUCCAAACGACUCGCCGAGUUCCAAAAUUAAACUGCAUAUGGUCUCGUACGUCUGUAUUUUCUUAGGGUAGACACCGAGCCAGAUAACAUUAAACCGAUGACCCAGACCCAGCUCUCACCAACAACAGAGCGCAGUGCUUCAUCCACAGAUUUUAUCAGCCAUCAACUCGAGCCUAAUUUAUAAUAGACCAAAAUGCAGAGUACGAGUAGAAUUCUCCCCAGCCCUUUGUACCGUAUAAUAAGCGCCUAGCUUUUGGAGCCGUGCCAUAUGUUCACGGGAGGGCACGGCAGGGCCAUGGCCGGCCCGGCCGAAAGGGGCGGCUGCACAUGCACAGCUUGCCGCUGGCCGUUGACUCUCCUGCCAACCUGCCACAACCAGCCAUCCUUCAGUUUUUGGAUAUACUCCCUCCUAAAUAUAAUUAUUUUUCGAUAUUUCAUUAAAGAUCUGCAUACGGAGCAAAAUAAAUGAAUCUACACUCUAAAACAUGUUCAUAUACAUCGGUAUGUAGUUCCUAGUGAAACAUCUAAAAAGACAUAUAUUUAGAAACGAAGGGAGUACAAGCCUGACAAGUAUAGCAACUAGCUAUCUUCGAACAUAUAAAUAUCUUAUGGAAAGCAUUCCUAAUUAAUCAUGAUUUUGGUAUUACGUCCAUGACAGGGCCCAUUAUAUGUAAAAAAUAUUACUGUAUUUGUUAUAAAAAAAUCGACAGUGCUAAUAUCUGCAAGAUUGAUUGCCUGUAUAUUCUCUAAGAGACUGCUCCCUUGAGCUCGUAGAAGUGCCUUCAACAGCAAUCGGUUACACCCGUGCGAAAUAGCCACACAUAGAGAAGCAUAAUCAAUCUAGUUCUUCGAAUAUCUAGCAAUAUCCAUUUUGUAUGCAGGCCGUAUCCUUCACCAGUCCGCUUUCACGCUAGUUAUUAGAUUCAUAUCCCGAAAACAGCCAAAAGGAAAAGGAAAGCGAGAAUGAAAAGGACGGUUAGGCCAACUUUGAACGCAAGUCAAAAGAUUUCCGACCAUGGAUUUCUCUAGCAAGUUGACAGAGACAAUCAAUUUCCUCAAGAAAAUUCGGGACUCCCACUGCCGAGUGCCUGCACAAUCAAAGGUCAAAACCGGAGCACGCACCACCCUACUCUGAUGUCCUACCGUCUCACACCUCGCCUCCCUCCCUCAUCCUUCACUGCCGCCUGCCGCCACCAUUGUUGCUUGGGAAACCAGCUUUACGCCCCAAAUGGCUUAGAUAUCACAUAGCUCCUGAACACAGCAAACAAGAACCUCUCUUCCCCAUUCAAGAGCAUCAGCAUAGCUCUUCUUGCAUCAAUGGGGCAUUUCUUGAUGAAACGCACUACCACAUGGCCAACCUGUUUCAUCCUAUGGUGCUUGUCCACGCAGCUUCUCUUCCUGUCCCCGGUCUACUCCCUCAACCAAAGCUCCUGCAACCCAGAUGAUUAUGGUGCACUGGAAGGCUUCCUGAGAGGUCUCACCGGAGGCAUCAGCAGCUGGAUGCUCUCAAACACGACAUCCGAAGUGGCUAACUGCUGUGCAUGGGCGGGUGUCACAUGCGACGCUCGCGGCCGGGUCAUCAGGCUGGACCUCCAUGGCAGGAACCUCAAGGGCGAGCUGGCACUUUCGCUUGCACAGCUGGACCAUCUCCAGUGGCUCAACCUCUCCAAUAACAACCUCCGUGGUGCCAUCCCGGCACCCCUCGUUCAGCUCCAUAGGCUGCAGCGGCUCGACGUAAGCAACAACGAGCUUUCCGGCACAUUCCCGGCCAACGUGUCACUCCCAGUGAUUGAUGUGUUCAACAUAUCCUUCAACUCAUUCAGCGGCACCCAUCCCACACUCCAUGGUUCAGCUCAGCUUACGGUGUUCGACGCAGGGUACAAUAUGUUCACCGGGAGAAUUGAUUCAAGCAUCUGUGAGUCAUCUCGAGUGAUCCGUGUGAUAAGAUUCACUUCGAAUCUCUUUGCCGGGGAACUGCCGGCAGGCUUCGGAAACUGCACAAAGCUCGAGGAGCUAUAUGCCGAGCUCAACAGCAUCUCCGGGAGCUUGCCAGACAACCUAUUCAAGUUGCAAUUUCUGAAGAAUUUGUCUCUGCAGGAGAAUCAGCUCACUGGUAGGAUGAGCCCGAGGUUUGGCAAUCUGUCCAGCCUUGCUCAGCUGGACAUUUCUUUUAAUUCCUUCUCUGGACAACUUCCAGAUGUUUUUGGUAGGCUUGGCAAGUUAGAGUACUUCUCUGCACAGUCCAACCUCUUCAGAGGCCCAUUGCCUGCUUCAUUGUCCCAGUUGCCAUCACUGAAGAUGAUGUACUUGCGAAACAAUUCACUGAAUGGAAGGAUCAACCUCAAUUGCUUGGAGAUGAGACAACUGUGCUCACUUGACCUUGGGACAAAUAGGUUCAUUGGCACAAUUGAUAGCUUGUCAGAUUGCCAUCACCUCAGAAGCCUAAAUCUUGGCACAAACAACCUCAGUGGCGAAAUACCAGCCGAUUUCAGAAAGCUUCAGUUUUUGUCCUACAUCUCACUUUCGAACAACAGCUUCACAAAUAUUUCCUCGGCAUUAUCUGUCCUUCAGGACUGUCCAAGCCUAACAAGCCUUGUGUUGACAAAAAACUUCCAUGAUGGGAAGGCCUUGCCGAUGACUGGAAUAUAUGGCUUUCAUAAGAUCCAAGUGUUUGUGAUUGCUAAUAGCCAUCUUUCUGGAGCAAUACCACCAUGGCUAGCUAAUUUCAGAGAAUUGAAGGUCCUAGAUUUGUCAUGGAAUCAACUGUCUGGGGAUAUUCCUGCAUGGAUUGGUGAUCUCAAGUUUCUAUUCUAUGUGGAUCUUUCUAACAAUUCACUUACAGGGGUAAUACCAAACAGUUUCUCGAGUAUGAAGGGCCUUCUUACAUGCAACAGCUCACAGCAAUCCACAGAGACUGAUUAUUUUCCAUUCUUCAUUAAAAGGAAUAAAACAGGCAAAGGGUUGCAGUACAAUCAGGUUAGCAGCUUCCCACCGUCUCUAGUUCUCAGCCAUAACAAGCUCAUAGGUGUCAUAUUGCCGGGCUUUGGAAGUCUCAAGAACCUGUAUACCUUGGACCUCAGUAACAACAACAUUUCUGGUAUCAUUCCUGAUGAGCUAUCAGGCAUGUCUAGCUUGGAAUCUUUGGAUUUGUCACAUAACAAUCUUACCGGAAGCAUUCCCUAUUCAUUGACAAAGCUGAAUUUUCUAUCAAGCUUCAGUGUGGCAUACAAUAAUCUAAUGGGCGUAGUUCCGUUAAGAGGGCAAUUCUCAACAUUCACAGGUUCUGAUUAUGAGGGGAACCCCAACCUCUGUGGCACCCGCUUUGGCUUACCCCUAUGUCAUUCGAAUCAUGCUCCCAUCAUGUCUGCAACAGGAAAUCGGAAGAAUAAAGGUCUCAUAUUAGGAAUAGUUAUUGGCCUUGCAAUUGGAGCAGUGAUGGUUUUGUCUGUUGCUGUUGUACUUGCAUUGAAGAGAAGCUUCAGAAGGCAGGAUCAUAUAGUCAAGGCUGUUGUAGAUACAAAUGUAGCAUUCGAGUUGGCACCAGCAUCACUGGUACUUCUGUUUCAGAACGAAGAUGAUGACAAGGCAUUGACUAUCAGUGACAUCUUGAAAUCUACAAACAACUUUGAUCAGGCUAACAUCAUUGGUUGUGGUGGGUUUGGUCUAGUGUACAAGGGAACACUACCAGAUGGAGCAAAGAUCGCCAUCAAAAGACUAUCGGGUGAUUUUGGCCAGAUGGAGAGGGAGUUCAAAGCAGAAGUGGAAACUUUAUCAAAAGCUAAGCAUCCUAAUCUUGUGCUUCUACAAGGUUACUGCAGGAAUGGCAGUGACAGGCUCCUGAUCUACUCUUACAUGGCAAAUGGCAGCCUAGACCACUGGCUUCAUGAAAAGCCUGAUGGUCCAUCCAGAUUAAACUGGCAAAGAAGGCUUCAGAUAGCCAAAGGAGCAGCACGGGGUUUGGCAUAUCUGCACUUGUCAUGCGAACCCCACAUACUACACCGUGACAUCAAGUCAAGCAACAUACUCCUGGAUGAGAAUUUUGAAGCUCAACUGGCUGAUUUUGGGCUUGCUCGGCUGAUUUGUCCCUAUGAUACACAUGUGACAACUGACCUAGUUGGCACACUAGGUUACAUCCCCCCUGAGUAUGGCCAGUCUUCAGUAGCCACUUUCAAAGGUGAUGUGUAUAGUUUUGGCAUUGUUCUACUGGAGUUAUUAACAGGAAAGAGGCCUGUUGAUAUGUGCAAGCGGAAGGGGGCUAGGGAGUUGGUCUCAUGGGUUAUACACAUGAAAGGAGAACACCGUGAAGCCGACGUAUUGGACCGUGCAAUGUAUGACAAGAAAUUUGAGAUGCAAAUGAUGAAGAUGAUUGAUAUUGCAUGUUUGUGCAUUAGCAAGUCACCAAAACUGAGACCAUUAACCCAUGAACUAGUGCUAUGGCUUGACAACGUUUGUGCUAGCAGUGAAGCAACAAAGUGAAGUUCAAUAACAGUGACCUUCGUCGAAAUACUUGUACUCACAGCCCAUGAACUAGUGCUAUGGCUUGCUAACUUUUGUGCUACCAUUGAAGCAACAGAGUGAAGUUCAAUAACAGUGACCAACGUGGGAAUACCUGUACUCAAUUUCUACCCUCUUGAAUAAUUUUUGUCACAGUGAAUAGCUGUAAGAUAUGACUGAUGAUUGCAUAUGAAUAUGAGAUGCUUCAUGGGAGUCUAACGUGCAAUUUAGUGCUCCCUGCGUUCCAUAAUACUCCCUCCGUUUCAAAAUAUAAGACCUUUUAGAGAUUUCACUAGGAGACUACAUACAAAGCAAAAUGAAUGAAUCUACACUCUAAAAUAUGUCUAAGUACAUCCGUAUGUAGUUUAUAGUGCAAUCUCUAAAAGGUCUUAUAUUUAAGAACGGAGGGAGUAGAAAGCACAUAAAUUUGCGUGAAGUCAAGAUUUCAAAACUUUGGCCACUAAUGUUUGUGAAAGUAUAUAAAUUUAGCAUGUAAGAAUGGUAUUGCCUGUCUUGUAAAAUACUUGUGUGCCAUAUGUUUGUUUACUAAUUUUGUAAGCAUUUCAUAAGUGAAAUUUAUAGUCAAAGUCAUGUAUUGGAGACUGUAAAAGUCAAACGUGCCUUAUAUUUCGGAACAGGGCAGCAACAGUAAAGCGUUUGUAUGCCAUAUGAAGUGAAGGAGAUCUUGUAAUAGCUCAUGCAAAUGUUACCUGCUUCUUCUUAUUAUCAUAUCCGAAUUUCUUGUAUGAAGUUCGGGAAGAUGUUUUAAGGAUGAUUUGCACCAUGGCUGACGAUUCACGUGUUUGAUGUUUCCCUGUAUUUACUUUAACCAAUCAUUCCAGUUAGUCAACUUAAAGUGUUUGUUAUAUUGCUUUCAAAGUUGUCACAAUAAUCAAGACGAGUUACCUAAAAUGAAAGGAACAUACAUAAAUGGUAAAAGCUCUGUACGAAACUGUACUUUCAUCAUAACCAUUGCAAUUUUCAAUUUCUUUAACUUGCGCUUCAGAUAAAUCAUAAAUGACUAGCGAUCAAAACCUGUGUUCCUGGCUUCUCAGUCUCGGACUGUCGACCUGUGUAACCUAUCCUAUACUGCUCCUGGCUAACCACUGCAACCGAGAAUUCGUUUCCACUAGUUUUAUUUAACUCAGAUAGUGGUAAAUCAGCGACAAUUAAUAUGGAUCAAAGGGAGUACUUGAUUUAAAAUCACAAAGCAGAGGCACGGAGGAACAUGAAGCAGGUUUAUGAUAGAAACCUGGCGUAUUCCUUGGCUCUGGCACUCUGUCGAACAGUUGGCUGGCAUGGGUAGCUGCUCCGUGUGACGCACCCAAGCCGGAGACUGCACGUCCCUGCCAUCCUGCACCGCCACAGCAGCACACUGCGCCGUCUAUGGGACGGCCCUUGACGUCACAGUCGUACCACGCACGCCGACGGGGGUUGCGGCCGCCGUCUCCUGGACUGGGACUCGGGGGGCCGGUUACGUCUCAUUUCCGGGCUUCAAACAGCGGACGCUACGCACAGACACAGAGGGGCGAGCGCUUUCGGCCGGCCCAACCGUCAUGUCAUCACUGUAUCAGUACAAGGAAUGCUGCAGCAACUUUCAAUCAUCUAUUUGCAUCUCAUCCGUCGAUCUUCGAUCUUACAAUGUCGGAGCAACGUACCGCUUCGCGCUUAAUCGGAGCGUCGUCAAC